GGCCGCGCUGCCCCCGGCGGCCUCACCACGCCCGCCUCUCCCGCGUGGACCGGCGGCCGCUGUGCCGAGCCGCGGGGGAGUCCCACCCGGGUCUUUGUCCCUUGGAGGAACUGCGAUCAAAGGACAUUGUGCUUUAGCGGUCUCAAGGUGCUGCACACGUGGCAGUAAAUGUUCCCGUGUGGUCGUCGGGAUGCUGAGCUGUAAAUGUGGUUGCUACUAAAAAACAAACACCGCUGACAGGUGCGGCCUCAGCGUCCCAGUUUGUUCACCGAGGUGAUUCGAGAAGUGCUUGUCCGUGUUAAGUGAUCUAACGGGCUGGUUAAGUGAUCUAACGUAAGAUUUUCCAGAGCUCUCUAAGCCUCCGCUUCUGUUUCAUUCGGUCUUCCUGGCUGAAGCUCUACUCUCUGCUGUGUCUGCCAGCAUACCUUAAAUUCCUUCCCUUAUUCCCACUAAGGCUUGAUGUGCCUUGUAGGGGAAAUUUCCAGGCCAAUGAUCUUGGUGAGAGGCCUUUGUAGGAAGAUUCAACCAACUCUUAUCAAGCAUAUAAUAAAAUCAUAUAAAAAGCAUAUAAAAAAUCAUGUUCAAAACUGAAAAGGAGCAUACCCCAAGUAGUUUUUUUGGAAGCAGUGGCCAAGAGAGCCCAAAGAGCAGCAGUGACUGCCUAGAUCUCCCUGAGCUCAGAGGAGACUGUGCAGGUUUGGUCCUCUGCUGGAGUGGGCAAUUUUGUUGCUCCCCUGAGAAUGAUUCAGCAUCCUGCUUCCUUUAAGCAUCUCUCUGUGAAACACUGACCUUCAUGCUGGAGCCCAGACAGCUGACAGGACCUUUUGUGGGGCAGAACUCCCAGUCAGCCUAGAAGAAUACCCACCUCAGGUUGAAACAGCUUCUGAAGGCAUUGUGUUCCACCCAGCUACACUGGUACUGAGGCUAACAACUUCUGCUUGUGUUCAACUAAAGCAACAUUUCUCCUUAUGGAAAGUAUUUUGGUUUUCCUUUCUCUGCUGGAAGAAACUGAGCAGCUGCUGCCAGCUGAAGGGAGCAUGCAUUGGCGAGUACUGUAUUUCCAGAAAGUUCUUCCAUAAAGACAUGUUGUACUCAGGAAAGCACUGAAAAAUGAAGGAUCCACCAUAUUUCUUCAUGGUUUGUCCUAGUAAUUAAACAGCUGUACUUUUAAAUUUGAAUCUGUCUGGCUUCUAUUUCCAGCUACUCUUUAUGCCAUUCUCUGUUAGAUUAAAGUGCCCUUUGUUUCUUUUUGUCUCCCUGAGGAGAUUAUGACACAUCACAACCAUAUUUUGUAUCAGCUUUCUUUUCAAUAGAGUAACAUUGGGAGAUUUUUAAAGCUUAACUAGCAGUGUUAGCCCUCAAUAACUUCUUUUCUCUUGCAGUAUUCCUUUUUUUCCUUCUUCCUUUCAAAAUUGUGAGUUGUACAUUAUGAGUGUCAGAUUCACCAAUGCAGCGUGCAAAGCUAAGAUCAGUGUUAUCUCUGCUCAUUUGUAUUCAAAGAUCCCAUGGAACCAGAUGAUUUUUUCACUAUGAUUUCCAGUGUCAUUGCUUUCCAGGGAAUUGUGUUGCUUUUGCCCUCCGCACUAGAUGAGAAAGCCCAACACUACACUGACUUUGUACACAGGCAGUGGAUCAGAGCCAGCCAGCAGAAGAGGCCAGGUUGCUCUGCCCUUGUCAGAUUUUAUCAGCAGCAACUUUAUACCUCACCUCAGGAUCAAUGAUCUAAAGGAUGGAUACCCCUUUCCUAGUGACUUCAACAAACAGGAAUCAGCAGGGAUUUAUUAGAAAUUUUUUAUGAUCUGCUACUAAAUCACGUCACUAGUCAUAAGAUUUCAGAUGUACUUAUUCUCCAAGUGGUAAAGGUCCAUACUGAAACAUUACAGCAGUAAACAAGAAUGAAGAACAACGAGGAAAAAAGGAGAGAAAUAAACCCCCCAAAACCAGCUGGAAAACUUGUGAUGGCAAAAUCACAAUGAUCUGUCUAAGAAACUUGAUUACAGAAAGACUGGGCUAAAUUAGCUACUAGAGUGUAUAUACACUGGGCUGCCAGCUAAAAGAAGUAUAUGGCCACAGCCAAGUGUGUGGAAAAACAAACCUCAUCAGGACAAUGUUCUGACUGACUCCUGAAUGUUACUGUUUUCAACACUCAACCAAAUGAGUAGAAACUGAGGCUCUGCAGAGAACAGUUUGCAGAACAAGCUAGCCUAUGCAUCUGAGAAUAAACCUGCAGGUAAAAAGAAACCAUCUCCCAUUGCUGAUAUCACUCCCAAUCUGACUUCAUUCUUAGAAGAUCCAUCAAGAUACCUCUGACCAGCACAGUCCAGUGUAAUUUGGGUCUGCACAUGUUGUCCGACAUGUUUUUUGCCUAGCUACUGAAUGGAGGCUGCACUGGUGUUAUUGACAGAACUCAUGUGGGGAACACACAGCGUUGGGCUGCUUGUAUCAGAGAGCAGCCAGUGUUAUCUGAGACAAGAGCCACUGGUAUAUCUCUGGAAGGCAGUCACUCUCUCCCCUUCCUUCUGGGUCUCUGAACGCCUUUGCAUUUAAAGCCGCUCUGGGCAGAACUUUACAGCUUAUUUUUGGAAGCCAGUGAAAGAGCUAUUUGUCAAACCUUUAACUUCAGAUUGGUCAGCACAAUUUUCUGAAAAUUUAUACAGCCUUCAGUCUUCAUUCUGUGCCAAGUAUGAGUUGCCUGCAGAGAACUACACUGCACUUAUAGCAAUUGCACUUGAACUGUCAUGUUCUAGGUGGAAUCUCAAAUGUCUUCUAAUUAGACAACAAGCCUUCCACAGUUAACUGUAUGAAUACCUUAAAUCUCAGCCUCUCCCAUCACAGUGAAGGAAAUCAAGUGGAAACUGAAGCAAGUUGCUGUGUGUCCAUGACAUGCUGCAGCCAUUCAUCAAGCAAAGACUUCUAAAAUCCUAUGCAAUAUAUUACAUCAGCAAAGACCUCUAAGAGCAAGACUACAGAUGGUAUUUUAUAGCUUUGACAUAUAUAAAACACACUCAGCUAGCAUAUAUUUUGCUAGAUCGUGUGAAGAAACAUUCUGUACUCCAUCAAUUACUAGUAUUGGGUAAAUCAAGUGUAGAAUGAAGAACUCAGAAAAAAAUUACAUAUAUGCAAUUCAGACAGAACAUACUUGUAGCAAAUGAAGUUGCAGUCCAAAACUGAAUUAACAUACUGUGCUGGUUUUGGCUGGGAUAGAAUUAAUUUUCUUCAUAGUAGCUAUUAUGGAUUUGUGCUGAAAACAGUGUUAAUAUAAGGGUGUUUUUGUUAUCCCUGAGCAGAGCUUACACAAAGCCAAGGCCUUUUCUCCUUCUCACCCCACGCCACCAGCAAGGGGGCUGGGGGUGCACAAGGAGCUGGGAGAGGACACAGCUGAGACACCUGACCCCAACUGCCCACAGGAACAUCCCAGAUCAUAUGAUGACAAGCUCAACACAUUAAGCUGGGGGAAGAAGGAAGGGGGGGAUGUUUGUAGUGAUGGCAUUUGUCUUCCAAAAUAACUUAGGAGCCCCACAUUCCUGGAGAUGGCUGAACACCUGACUGCCAACGGGAAGUCGUGAAUUAAUUCCUUGGUUUGCUUUGUUUGUGUGCAUGGCUUUUGCCUUACCUGUUUAACUGACUUUAUCUCAAUCCAUGGGUGUUCUCACUUACUCUUCUGAUUCUUUGCCCCAUCCCACCGAGGGGGGAGUGAGCAAGCAGUUGUGUGGGGCUGAGUUGCCAGCUGGGGUUAAUCCAUGACACAUAAUUGAAUGCAAAAAAACUUUUUCAAAAACAAGGUGGACCUUUAAGUGGAAGAAAGAACUUUCUUAUAUCUGACACCCACCAUUAUUUAUCAGCAUGGAGACAGUGACAUGCAGCAAGUAUGCUCAAACUGACAUGAAGACAGAUUUAAAACAAUACAGCCUAGGUUGUCAGGAGGAAUAUCUUCAGCAGAUUGCUGAUCCUGGCUCCUGUGAUAUUACAGUUUUCAGUAGACAAAAGGUAUUCAUGACCAAUUACAUCCUGUCCUAUUGAUGUUGAUAUUGCCCUGGUUAUACAGACUCCUGUCUAGUGCCAAAUUUCACCUUUGGCUGUUGCCAGACUCUUCUCUCCCAGCUAUUCCCCAGUUUGAGCAGACUGUAGCACACUCAGCCUGGCACGGACAUCCUGCCGCUGCUGUUUCGCUCCAGCCCAGUGUAGGUGAUGCUCUCGGCUUAGCACCGCUCGCCUCCAGCGCGGGCAGCGCACACUUGGCUUUGUACCACAGCAGUUUUUGUUCUCUCCGAAAGCCGCAGGACUAGGAGGGACUGGAGAGCGGAGGGGGAGCAGCCGCCGCCCUCCCCAUGAGUGGGGCGCGGGUGCCCCCGAGCGGCUCUUCGGCUGGGACUCACAGCGACCACGGAACGGGCGCAGCCCACUGCCACAGGAAUGACUUUCUAAAUGGCAGUUUUCAGAGUAUUGUAGUUAGGAGCAUGAAUAUUUAUGUUGGGUCAAUUAACUUUUCCUAGUAGCCACCGAGACACAACAGUAUCCAAUUCCUCAUUCAGUUUCUGCUUAUACUUCUCCUCCACUUCAUAGUCAAUCAAACACCUCAAAGAAUUUAAAAUCCAUCACAUUAAGAGACUUAUGCUGGCAAAUUACUGAAUUAUACUGCAAUUUCAGAAGGCUCCAAAGAUCCAAUAAAUAAAAAUUACCAGUAAUAUGGGCAAAGCUAGAAAAUUGUAGUUGUUGUGGAUUAGAAUACUGACUCUUUAAUUAAAGUAAAUGUGAAAAGAAGAGAAUUAUUGAUGCAAGAUAAAACUGCCUUUUUUUUUGAAGAAUUCAACCUCUUAUGAAUUUCUGAGUAAAUAUUUGUAACACAAGUCAGAGCCUUCAAACAACUCCUUCUCUAAAAAAAUGUUACCGACAGGCACACCACCACCACUUUCAUGUAGUCUUAACUUCUUCAUCAGAAAGAAUAUGCUCAGUAGUAUGUCAUAUUCCAUUUCCCACAAUUUUUACACCCUUUCACAUUCGUGGUCACCAUACUUGUUAACUGCGCUUCUUUUUUGAAAAUCUGAGCAAGGUUUCACAAAUGUAUAAAAUUACAGAUUGUUAAAAACUGGAACAGGUGACACCGUAUUACAGUGCACUCA